rnacentral:lncRNA from 1 species
CCCAAACCCACAAUUUAGAGUAUCCAGGCACAAAUGAGUGUUUGAAUCAAAAUAGUUCUCAUGUUAUUGCCCACUUAUCCAAGAUGCACAGGAGAUUAUUUCACUGAUAUUCAUACAACUAGAUCAGUUUUCAGCAUGGAAGAGAUCAAAACACACAUCCAUUGCAGUCUAUAUUCUCCACAGAAGCUGCCAAAGGAAACCUGCAGGGUGAAAGAAGUUUGGAGUCUUAGGGAAAGGAACCCACCUUGCAGGAGAGAGAAGGUGCAUGGGGGAGAGAGGAGUGGCCACAAAGUUUGGAAAUAUAGAUGACUCUUUGCUGUGAUUUUCCACGUUAACCAACGAUCAAUUAGUGCCUGCACUUGACUGGGAAGGAAGGUCACCCUGAGACCAUCACCACAUGAACCCUGAAUGGUGAAUACCAGAAGGAUGAUAAUUUCUAAAAUUGGGUUGGAUGAUGUAAUCUCAUGCAGUAUGCUGCAUUCUGGCCAGAUCAGCACACACUUAGACUUGAAGCCGUGGAAUGGUUGAGGCCCAGAAAUGAAAUGAUCUGUAAUCUGAAGAAUGGAGUGUUUGGUCAUAUGCCCAGCCAUUAGAGGAGUGGAAAACUGCACAUCUCUGACUGGAGCUGAAGAAGUAGGAAAAACAAAAUGACUGUUAGCCAAGAUGUGAGUGUGCCUUACACACCAGUGCAGUAGUGGUAGAUAUGCUAAAGUGUGUGGUGUACUUACCUCGUGAAUAC